UACGAAGGGGGCUAGCGUUGCUCGGAUUGACUGGGCGUAAAGGGCGCGUAGGCGGUUCGUACAGUCAGACGUGAAAUUCCUGGGCUCAACCUGGGGGCUGCGUUUGAUACGUGCGGACUUGAGUGCGGAAGAGGGUCGUGGAAUUCCCAGUGUAGAGGUGAAAUGCGUAGAGAUCGGGAGGAACACCAGUGGCGAAGGCGGCUACCUGGACCAGCACUGACACUGAGGCACGAAAGCGUGGGGAGCAAACAGG
rnacentral:rRNA from 1 species